UACGUAGGGUGCGAGCGUUGUCCGGAAUUACUGGGCGUAAAGAGCUCGUAGGUGGUUUGUCGCGUUGUCCGUGAAAACUCACAGCUCAACUGUGGGCGUGCGGGCGAUACGGGCAGACUGGAGUACUGCAGGGGAGACUGGAAUUCCUGGUGUAGCGGUGAAAUGCGCAGAUAUUGGGAAGAACACCAGUGGCGAAAGCGGACUUCUGGGUUGUUACUGACGCUGAGGUACGAAAGCGUGGGGAGCAAACGGG
rnacentral:rRNA from 1 species